rnacentral:rRNA from 1 species
UUUCCGGUGGUUAUAGCGGUGGGGUCACACCCGUUUCCAUUCCGAACACGGAAGUUAAGCCCACCAGCGCCGAUGGUACUUGGGACGUGGGUCCCUGGGAGAGUAGGACGCUGCCGGAU